CUAUUGUUUCUUUGUUUGUUAACACACUAGCAGCAAAACUAUUGGUUGAAUUCAUACCAAAUUGGGUUUAUAGAUUGCCGGUGAUACAAAAUAGAGCUGAUUACAUUAUGGGAACAGUAGGUGAAAGUUCAAAUU